rnacentral:rRNA from 1 species
UGGGGAAUAUUGGACAAUGGGCGCAAGCCUGAUCCAGCAAUGCCGCGUGAGUGAUGAAGGCCUUAGGGUUGUAAAGCUCUUUUUACCCGGGAAGAUAAUGACUGUACCGGGAGAAUAAGCCCCGGCUAACUCCGUGCCAGCAGCCGCGGUAAUACGGAGGGGGCUAGCGUUGUUCAGAAUUACUGGGCGUAAAGCGUACGUAGGCGGCUUUGUAAGUUAGAGGUGAAAGCCCGGGGCUCAACCCCGGAAUUGCCUUUAAGACUGCAUCGCUUGAAUCGCGGAGAGGUGAGUGGAAUUCCGAGUGUAGAGGUGAAAUUCGUAGAUAUUCGGAAGAACACCAGUGGCGAAGGCGGCUCACUGGACGCGUAUUGACGCUGAGGUACGAAAGCGUGGGGAGCAAACAGGAUUAGAUACCCUAGUAGUCCCUGAGCGGGCUGGCAAGGCGCAU